UGUGGACUCUGUGAAAGGCUCAGUCAACAAUCAGACCAUCCAGUGCACCUUCUCUGCUACUGUCCCCAACGCUACGGCCACCGGGAGCUCCGACACCAGCUUCUUCAUCUCCAUCUCCAAUGGGGAUUUUACUAAAGGAAUACUGGGUAGUCCCACUGCUGUCCUGGUCAGUAGUAAAGGGGUGGACCUGGGCAACCCCAACGCUACUGUGACCAACUCUUUGAACAACAUCACCACUACUGCUGCUCCCUCCACUACUGCUAGACCCUCCACUACUGCUGCUCCCUCCAGCCACGCCUUUGUCCUGCAGCACACCCUGUCUCAAGCUCUUCUGAUCCUGCUAGGUGUACUAGGUAUGAUGAUGCUGUAAUGCAGGUCUGAAGGGGAAGCACCAUGCACUCAGGAAUCCUGCCUCGUUGCCUUUAUUCACUU